GAUGAACGCUGGCGGCGUGCCUAAUACAUGCAAGUCGAGCGAACAGACGAGGAGCUUGCUCCUCUGACGUUAGCGGCGGACGGGUGAGUAACACGUGGAUAACCUACCUAUAAGACUGGGAUAACUUCGGGAAACCGGAGCUAAUACCGGAUAAUAUAUUGAACCGCAUGGUUCAAUAGUGAAAGACGGUUUUGCUGUCACUUAUAGGUGGAUCCGCGCCGCAUUAGCUAGUUGGUAAGGUAACGGCUUACCAAGGCAACGAUGCGUAGCCGACCUGAGAGGGUGAUCGGCCACACUGGAACUGAGACACGGUCCAGACUCCUACGGGAGGCAGCAGUAGGGAAUCUUCCGCAAUGGGCGAAAGCUUGACGGAGCAACGCCGCGUGAGUGAUGAAGGUCUUCGGAUCGUAAAACUCUGUUAUUAGGGAAGAACAAAUGUGUAAGUAACUAUGCACGUCUUGACGGCACCUAAUCAGAAAGCCACGGCUAACUACGUG
rnacentral:rRNA from 1 species